GAUGAACGCUGGCGGCGUGCCUAAUACAUGCAAGUCGAGCGAACAGACGAGGAGCUUGCUCCUCUGACGUUAGCGGCGGACGGGUGAGUAACACGUGGAUAACCUACCUAUAAGACUGGGAUAACUUCGGGAAACCGGAGCUAAUAUCGGAUAAUAUAUUGAACCGCAUGGUUCAAUAGUGAAAGACGGUUUUGCUGUCACUUAUAGAUGGAUCCGCGCCGCAUUAGCUAGUUGGUAAGGUAACGGCUUACCAAGGCGACGAUGCGUAGCCGACCUGAGAGGGUGAUAGGCCACACUGGAACUGAGACACGGUCCAGACUCCUACGGGAGGCAGCAGUAGGGAAUCUUCCGCAAUGGGCGAAAGCCUGACGGAGCAACGCCGCGUGAGUGAUGAAGGUCUUCGGAUCGUAAAACUCUGUUAUUAGGGAAGAACAAAUGUGUAAGUAACUAUGCACGUCUUGACGGUACCUAAUCAGAAAGCCACGGCUAACUACGUG
rnacentral:rRNA from 1 species